CUUCUCCGAUCUUACCCUUUACAAGAAACAAGAGCAUUCAGCUCGAGACCAAAAUAGGCUCGCAUCCAUUCUUCCCCAUUCUCAUAAAAGAGGAGCUCGUGUUCAUGAGCUCAAGAGCACGACUAACUCCACCGACGUUCCGUUAAUUAAAUAUGUUCAUGUAGUCGAAGGCGCUGGGAGUAACCCUUCCUUUGGUACAGCCGUCAACAUCAACCCAAAAACCUAUUAUCUUUAAUGAUCAUUACAUUAAGUUAUAGAUACUUCUAUGUUAGAUCUAGACCAAUGGCUGCUCACAUGAAACCCGAUCUUACGAGAUCGUGAUCAGUCAAUCCGAGAUCACUAUCUCAUUAUUCUUGUGAAUAAACGACGUCUAUCCCAAGACGGGAACCGACAAGCCCGAUGUCUCUCUCAAGAUCGAUUAACUUGAUAUCUCUUUUGAGUUCUUCACACAACGUCCGAUCCAAUAUGUAACCAGUAUUAGUCCGUAAAGACUCAUCGACCAUUCAUAAACGAUACGAGACGGACGAAGCCAAUCUCUCGCCCGAGACAGCCUAACCGAUAUCAUGAUAAUGGCACGAGCUUGUAUUUAUACAAUGCCAUUUAUGUCUCAGUCAAGACCGAUGAAACCGAUCUCUCAUUCGAGAUGAUUAUAAUCGAACUACGUUUAGACUUGAUCCCUUGACGGGUACGUAUGCAGCUCGGCCCCGAGUUCAGUCACGAUCUUUCUCUCCUCCGAGAUCUCGAUGUUAUUCGACAUAAGAAUAAAGUCCAUUCUUGUCAACUCGAAUCCAAUUCUAUCGCUGUGUUCUGAGGAUAUUGUCGCCCAUGAAGUUCUUUCUUCCCUAGUUUUACAUCUCAAACACUAUCAAAUACUUAAUGUAGAUUUUAGGAUCUACAUUUUGGCGCCGACUUGUGAAUUAUAGGUGAAGGUGACAAAUAAAUAAAUAAUCAUUUGUUAUAGUUCAAUUGAUUUUUGCUCUAAUUUCAAACAAAGAUUAUACUAACAUCUUUCAUUUAUUACUCUCAAGGUUUGAAAUUCCACCUAGCUCCGUACCAACUAAUGUACGACCGUGUUUUCGAACACAAAUGGAGAUGCUUAAUUACUUCCGAUCACCAUUUAACCGGACGAGUAUACGACCGUGUUUUCGAACAUGGAUUAAUAGUAUGUGAUUUUUACUUUUUUAUGACUACAUAUUGACUAAUUCUAAAAGCUACUACAAAUAUUUUUGUAUUAUGUAUUUUAACUUUUGUGAUAUCGACUAAUUUCUGAAACAUAGUACAACUUUCCCUC
rnacentral:lncRNA from 1 species